rnacentral:misc_RNA from 1 species
AACCAUUCUCACCUGCGGCUAGACCUGCGGAAGGAUCAUUAAAGAUUGACCGAAAGGUCUUAUCUCUAUAUCCCUCACCUCUGUGAACUGUGGACCUCCGGGUCUAUUUAACAAACAUCAGUGUAAUGAACGUAUAUAUCAUUAAACAAAACAAAACUUUCAACAAUGGAUCU